GAAAUGCGAUAAGUAAUGUGAAUUGCAGAAUUCAGUGAAUCAUCGAAUCUUUGAACGCACAUUGCGCCCGCCGGUAUUCCGGCGGGCAUGCCUGUUCGAGCGUCAUUUCACCACUCAAGCCCAGCUUGGUGUUGGGGCACCCGAGCCGCCUGGCGGCCCGGGGCCCCCAAGUACAUCGGCGGUCUCGCCUGGACCCUGAGCGCAGUAACUCGCGGUAAAACGCGCUUCGUUCGGAGGAUCCUAGAGGGCUCCAGCCGCUAAACACCCUAAUUUUCUUAGGUUGACCUCGGAUCAGGUAGGAAUACCCGCUGAACUUAA
rnacentral:misc_RNA from 1 species